AUAUGCUUUGGGGAGCUGUAAGUAAGCUUUGAUCCAGAGAUUUCCGAAUGGGGAAACCCAGCAUGAGUUAUGUCAUGUUAUCGAUAUGUGAAUACAUAGCAUAUCAGAAGGCACACCCGGAGAACUGAAACAUCUUAGUACCCGGAGGAAGAGAAAGAAAAUUCGAUUCCCUUAGUAGCGGCGAGCGAAACGGGAAGAGCCCAAACCAACAAGCUUGCUUGUUGGGGUUGUAGGACACUCUAUACGGAGUUACAAAGGACGACAUUAGACGAAUCAUCUGGAAAGAUGAAUCAAAGAAGGUAAUAAUCCUGUAGUCGAAAAUGUUGUCUCUCUUGAGUGGAUCCUGAGUACGACGGAGCACGUGAAAUUCCGUCGGAAUCUGGGAGGACCAUCUCCUAAGGCUAAAUACUCUCUAGUGACCGAUAGUGAACCAGUACCGUGAGGGAAAGGUGAAAAGCACCCCGGAAGGGGAGUGAAAUAGAACCUGAAACCGUGUGCUUACAAGUAGUCAGAGCCCGUUAAUGGGUGAUGGCGUGCCUUUUGUAGAAUGAACCGGCGAGUUACGAUUUGAUGCAAGGUUAAGCAGUAAAUGUGGAGCCGUAGCGAAAGCGAGUCUGAAUAGGGCGUUUAGUAUUUGGUCGUAGACCCGAAACCAGGUGAUCUACCCUUGGUCAGGUUGAAGUUCAGGUAACACUGAAUGGAGGACCGAACCGACUUACGUUGAAAAGUGAGCGGAUGAACUGAGGGUAGCGGAGAAAUUCCAAUCGAACCUGGAGAUAGCUGGUUCUCUCCGAAAUAGCUUUAGGGCUAGCCUCAAGUGAUGAUUAUUGGAGGUAGAGCACUGUUUGGACGAGGGGCCCCUCUCGGGUUACCGAAUUCAGACAAACUCCGAAUGCCAAUUAAUUUAACUUGGGAGUCAGAACAUGGGUGAUAAGGUCCGUGUUCGAAAGGGAAACAGCCCAGACCACCAGCUAAGGUCCCAAAAUAUAUGUUAAGUGGAAAAGGAUGUGGCGUUGCCCAGACAACUAGGAUGUUGGCUUAGAAGCAGCCAUCAUUUAAAGAGUGCGUAAUAGCUCACUAGUCGAGUGACACUGCGCCGAAAAUGUACCGGGGCUAAACAUAUUACCGAAGCUGUGGAUUGUCCUUUGGACAAUGGUAGGAGAGCGUUCUAAGGGCGUUGAAGCAUGAUCGUAAGGACAUGUGGAGCGCUUAGAAGUGAGAAUGCCGGUGUGAGUAGCGAAAGACGGGUGAGAAUCCCGUCCACCGAUUGACUAAGGUUUCCAGAGGAAGGCUCGUCCGCUCUGGGUUAGUCGGGUCCUAAGCUGAGGCCGACAGGCGUAGGCGAUGGAUAACAGGUUGAUAUUCCUGUACCACCUAUAAUCGUUUUAAUCGAUGGGGGGACGCAGUAGGAUA
rnacentral:rRNA from 1 species